CCUACGGGGAGCAGCAGUGAGGAAUAUUGGUCAAUGGACGAGAGUCUGAACCAGCAAAGUAGCGUGAAGGAUGACUGCCCUAUGGGUUGUAAACUUCUUUUAUAAAGGAAUAAAACGAGGCACGUGUGCCUUUUUGCAUUGACUUUAUGAAAAAGGAACGGCUAACUCCGUGCCAGCAGCCGCGGUAAUACGGAGGAUACGAGCGUUAUCCGGAUUUAUUGGGUUUAAAGGGAGCGUAGAUGGGGUGUUAAGUCAGUUGUGAAAGUUUGCGGCUAAACCGUAAAAUUGCAAUUGAUACUGGCAGUCUUGAGUACAGUUGAGGUAUGUGGAAUUCGUGUUGUAGCGGUGAAAUGCUUAGAUAUCUCGAAGAACCCCGAUUGCGAAGGCAGCUUACUAAACUGUGACUGACAUUGAUGCUCGAAAGUGUGGGUAUCAAACAGGAUUAGAUACCCCAGUAGUC
rnacentral:rRNA from 1 species